AUUAAUAUAUAACCUUAUAAGUACAGUCAACUCAAAACGGGUAUAGACAAGGGUAAUCUAAUUGUUUAAUUAAAACAAAGCAUUGUGAUGGUCCCUGUGGAUGCUGACACAAUGUGAUUUAUGCCUAGUUCUUUGCAUGUCAAAGUGAACAAAUUCAACCAAGCACGGGUAAACAACAAGAGUAACUAUGACUCUCUGAAGGUAGCCAAAUUCCUCAUCAUAUAAUUAGUUACACACAUGAAUAGAUUAACGAGAUUCCCACUAUUCCUUUCUACUAUCUAUAGAAACCACAACCAAGGGAAUGGGAUUGAAAAAAACAACGAGGAAAGAAGACCCUGUUGAUCUUGACUCUAGUCUGACUUUGUGAAAUGGCAUGAGAGGUGUAGAAUAAGUGGGAGUUGUUUUUGGCACAAGUGAAAUACCACUACUUUUAACGUUAUUUUACUUAUUACGUGGGUUGGAGACAGGUCAUUGCCCCUAUUUUUGGCCAUAUGACAUGUUUCAGCGGGUUGAUCUAGGAAAAAUACAUUGUCAGGAGGGGUGUUUGGCUGGGGUGGCACAUCUGUUAAAAUAUAACACAUGUGUCCUAAGAUGAGAUCAACGAGAACAUAAAUAUCAUGUGCAACAAAAGGGUAAAAAUUCAAUUGAUUUUCCACCAACCUCUUGAUCCUUAUAAUUCAUUGAUGGAUAUGAAUUAAUACAUCAAUUAGAUGUUUGAAUGCUUCAACAUAGUUAAUUUAAAAUACUAAUUUCUUGAGU
rnacentral:ncRNA from 1 species